rnacentral:rRNA from 1 species
GACGAACGCUGGCGGCGUGCUUAACACAUGCAAGUCGAACGGAAAGGCCCUGCUUUUGUGGGGUGCUCGAGUGGCGAACGGGUGAGUAACACGUGAGUAACCUGCCCUUGACUUUGGGAUAACUUCAGGAAACUGGGGCUAAUACCGGAUAGGAGCUCCUGCUGCAUGGUGGGGGUUGGAAAGUUUCGGCGGUUGGGGAUGGACUCGCGGCUUAUCAGCUUGUUGGUGGGGUAGUGGCUUACCAAGGCUUUGACGGGUAGCCGGCCUGAGAGGGUGACCGGCCACAUGGGGACUGAGAUACGGCCCAGACUCCUACGGGAGGCAGCAGUGGGGAAUAUUGCACAAUGGGCGGAAGCCUGAUGCAGCAACGCCGCGUGCGGGAUGACGGCCUUCGGGUUGUAAACCGCUUUCGCCUGUGACGAAGCGUGAGUGACGGUAAUGGGUGAAGAAGCACCGGCUAACUACGUG